rnacentral:rRNA from 1 species
AACGCGAAGAACCUUACCAAGGCUUGACAUAUACGAGAACGGGCCAGAAAUGGUCAACUCUUUGGACACUCGUAUACAGGUGGUGCAUGGUUGUCGUCAGCUCGUGUCGUGAGAUGUUCGGUUAAGUCCGGCAACGAGCGCAACCCUCGUCCUAUGUUGCCAGCACGUUAUGGUGGGAACUCAUGGGAUACUGCCGUGGUCAACACGGAGGAAGGUGGGGAUGACGUCAAAUCAUCAUGCCCCUUAUGUCCUGGGCUACACACGUGCUACAAUGGUGGUGGCAGUGGGCAGCGAGCACGCGAGUGUGAGCUAAUCUCCAAAAGCCAUCUCAGUUCGGAUUGCACUCUGCAACUCGAGUGCAUGAAGUUGGAAUCGCUAGUAAUCGCGGAUCAGCACGCCGCGGUGAAUACGUUCCCGGGUCUUGUACACACCG